UACGGAGGGUCCAAGCGUUAUCCGGAAUCAUUGGGUUUAAAGGGUCCGUAGGCGGUUUUGUAAGUCAGUGGUGAAAGCCCAUCGCUCAACGGUGGAACGGCCAUUGAUACUGCAAGACUUGAAUUAUUGGGAAGUAACUAGAAUAUGUAGUGUAGCGGUGAAAUGCUUAGAGAUUACAUGGAAUACCAAUUGCGAAGGCAGGUUACUACCAAUAUAUUGACGCUGAUGGACGAAAGCGUGGGGAGCGA
rnacentral:rRNA from 1 species